GAUGAACGCUGGCGGCGUGCCUAACACAUGCAGGUCGAACGAAGCACCUUACCUGAUUCUUCGGAUGAAGGUCUGGUGACUGAGUGGCGGACGGGUGAGUAACGCGUGGGUAACCUGCCCUGUACAGGGGGAUAACAGUUGGAAACGGCUGCUAAUACCGCAUAAGCGCACGAGAGGACAUCCUCUUGUGUGAAAAACUCCGGUGGUACAGGAUGGGCCCGCGUCUGAUUAGCUGGUUGGCAGGGUAACGGCCUACCAAGGCGACGAUUAGUAGCCGGUCUGAGAGGAUGAACGGCCACAUUGGAACUGAGACACGGUCCAAACUCCUACGGGAGGCAGCAGUGGGGAAUAUUGCACAAUGGGGGAGACCCUGAUGCAGCAACGCCGCGUGAGUGAAGAAGUAUUUCGGUAUGUAAAGCUCUAUCAGCAGGGAAGAUAAUGACGGUACCUGACUAAGAAGCUCCGGCUAAAUACGUGCCAGCCGCCGCCGUAAAAC
rnacentral:rRNA from 1 species